AUGUUGAUGGACUAUCACUAUGUGCCUCCCAUUGCUCUAACUCGGCCAAUCUUCAAAGCAAGCCAUUGUGAUAAUAAAUCAGACUCUGAACCCAGCCAUUGUCUCCAAGUCUCUGCCACGCUGAGAGAGGAGGAAGCACAGCUUGGCUCACCUACACAAGGGAGUCUCUUGGGAAGCCACUCCAGGACUGCAAACGCAGACGGCUGCAGCUGUAGUCAGAACAUCUUCAGGGCUAGUCACCAUCCCUUCCUGUAUCUCAGCGCUGGAACUCUCAGCUCUAAGAAACAGGCGGCCGUGGCGUGUGCACAGGAAAGCAGUGCAAGCAGGAUGGAGCUGUGAGGAGAAGCCGGGUCACUCACCCGCCAUGGUUGUGCUCAACGGAUGCCGCUGGUCUUGGGCUGAACCAGAGCUGGGCUUUCCUCACCCAAAUAAAACACAAAGCCAGCCCAAGCUAGGUGCACGCCCCACCAGAACCAAGAGGAGAAAAGGCAGACUGCUGUUCUGAGGAGCAUGCAGCGGACUCGGUUUAUGUUUCCUCUUGCUUGCUUGUUUAAAAUUUGCAUAAAAGGGACAUCUUUGCUUUUUGAGUAUUCAUCUGCUUAUGAACACUUUCUUUUCAAUUGCUGUAAAACUUACUCUGACUAUGCUAUCGUAACCUAAAGACUGUGACUUUCAUAUUGGAAAAAAAACCUGUCUUACUAUUAAAUGCAAGGAACAAGACUCUGCCUCCAAACAGCGAAUGGGAAAUUUCCCGAAAGUCUAGAUAAUGACAUCAAGCAAUUGGACAUCUCCAGUACCGCCUGCUUCAGAGCCUCUCUUCUGCGCAAGGUCACAUUUCAUUCUGGGUGAAAAGUGUGCACUUCCUGAGAUAAGGAGUUAAAGAAGAUAUCCAAGGGUUCCUUGUUGGAGCCAUUUUUGGCCAUCAAGAGAUAAGUGGGGUAAGGCGGAUGUGUGCCUUCCUAGUCAACCCCGUCCUGACAAAAUUAGAAAGUAACAAAAAUAAAAGCAUAUGCCCUAUGCAGAGCUCAAAUGUUGUCUCCGUAUACUCGCAGAAAAUGAACGCUUAAAGCAAUUUGAAAAUUAAUGUGCUGAUUAGACUUAUUCCACUGCCCCUUUUGUGUGAAAGGACACAAUUAGAUACGGACUGGUUUUUGAAAGUGUUAUGAGAUACUGUGACAUUUACUGCACCCAGGCA
rnacentral:lncRNA from 1 species